rnacentral:rRNA from 1 species
AUACGAGAGGUGCAAACGUUAUUCGGAAUCACUGGGCGUAAAGGGUGCGUAGACGGUGAAGUAAGUCAGUUGUUAAAUUUUCCGGCCUAACCGGAAGUCAGCAGCAGAAACUGCUUUGCUAGAGGAUGGAAGAGAGAAGUGGAAUUCUCGGAGUAGCGGUAAAAUGCGUAGAUCUCGAGAGGAACACCAAUGGCGAAGGCAGCUUCUUGGUCCAUUCCUGACGUUGAGGCACGAAAGCGUGGGGAGCAAACAGGAUUAGAAACCCCAGUAGUCC